UACGUAGGAUGCGAGCGUUAUCCGGAUUUAUUGGGUUUAAAGGGUGCGUAGGCGGAUCGUUAAGUCAGUGGUCAAAUUGAGGGGCUCAACCCCUUCCCGCCAUUGAAACUGGCGCUCUUGAGUGGAAGAGAAGUAUGCGGAAUGCGUGGUGUAGCGGUGAAAUGCAUAGAUAUCACGCAGAACCCCGAUUGCGAAGGCAGCAUGCCGGCUUCCGACUGACGCUGAAGCACGAAAGCGUGGGGAUCGAACAGG
rnacentral:rRNA from 1 species